rnacentral:rRNA from 1 species
UACAGAGGUCCCAAGCGUUGUUCGGAUUCACUGGGCGUAAAGGGCGCGUAGGCGGACAGUUAAGUUGGGGGUGAAAGCCCGGGGCUCAACCUCGGAAUUGCCUUCAAUACUGGCUGUCUUGAGUAUGAGAGAGGUGUGUGGAACUCCGAGUGUAGAGGUGAAAUUCGUAGAUAUUCGGAAGAACACCAGUGGCGAAGGCGACACACUGGCUCAUUACUGACGCUGAGGCGCGAAAGCGUGGGGAGCAAACAGG